rnacentral:tRNA from 1 species
UCUAAUUUGACAGAUAAAUGUAAUGAACUUAAAAUUCAUUUAUAGAAAUAAUUUUUCUAUUUAGAA